UACGGAGGGGCGAGCGUUGUCCGAAGUUACUGGGCGUAAAGCGCACGUAGGCGGCUUUCUAAGUCGGGGGUGAAAUCCUGGAGCUCAACUCCAGAACUGCCUUCGAUACUGGAGAGCUCGAGUCCGGGAGAGGUGAGUGGAACUGCGAGUGUAGAGGUGAAAUUCGUAGAUAUUCGCAAGAACACCAGUGGCGAAGGCGGCUCACUGGCCGGUACUGACGCUGAGGUGCGAAAGGCGUGGGGAGCAAA
rnacentral:rRNA from 1 species